CAACAGCUGCGCCUAAUUUAAAGCAACAAAACUUCAAAGAAAGGAAAGAACAUCUUCUGGAAACAUCAGGAUGAUCUGACUCCAGGCACUGACACCAUCAUCCAUCAGAAGUCAUGACCUGUGAUUUGAGGUCUUUUGCAAGCACAAGCAAAGCUGAAGUAUACCUGUCCAUACAUCUUUGUGCACAUGUGACUAUGACUACAGGAUAAAUUCCUAGAAAAGAAAUUGCUGAAUUAAAAGACACAUUUAUCUCAAAUAUUGAAUGUUAUUAGUGAUUGAUCUCCCACCAGCAGUGAAAGAGAGUACGUUUCCUCCUACUUUAAUUGUAUGUUAUACUUUUUGACUAAGCUCAUCUGAGAAAUAGAACAAUGUAUCUGCUUCUAGGUUUGAUUUGUAUUUCUUUUACUCAUAUGUUUUAUAUUUUAUAUAUUUUAAAAGUUUUCUUUAUGUAAAUACUAUGUAUUUAUCUAUAUAUUUUAUUUAUAUUUCUUUUUCUAUGAACUACUUGUUCAUGUUUCUUUGCCUGAGAUUCUUUUCUUACUGAUAUUUAAGCUCUCUUUAUUUUUUUUUAGAUUAACUUUCAUGUCAUAGACACUGUGCAAUUUCCCAGUUUGUCAUUUAUCUUUUGACUUGGUUUAGAGCAGGGAGAGGCAACACUGGUGGUGGGUACUUGCCUUAAAUUUAUAUAAUCAAAGGGUUCAUUCAUACAGCUUUCCCCAAACCAAAAAGCAGUCUGUCCCAAAGGUAAAUUCAGCUUCCUGCUUCUUGCACAGUUGCUUUAGAAAGACAGGGGUUUUGUUUGCCCUGUAUUUUGCACCUAAAAAAAAGUGCCUUGAACUGAGGAUCACGAUGCCACCUUUCAUCUAAUGUCAACUAAGAACAGAUGGACAAGGAGAUUUGUAUCUUUCUAAUCUGAGCAGACUGCACAGAAGAUAAAGAAUAACCAGGCCUUUCUGUAAGGGGCUAUCUUUGAAAUGUAUUCAUUAUUAACAAUAAUUUAUUUGAAUGAAAUUAAUAUAAGGAAAGUCGAGCUCCUCUGACUCAACAGUUUUUCCCAUCCAACUCUUACUACAGUGUUGAGCUAAUUAAAAAAAUACAGAAUAUAUGAAUAAACCUAAUUACUUCCAGCAUCCCUUUCUUUAAAAGGUAAAAGAACUGCUUCUGGUGGUUGUCCAGUGACCCUCAGGGAAGCCUCAAAGAUAAUUUAAGGGUAAAAGACCUCAUGAAGUUUUUAUAUUUUUCUGAAUUUAGGAGUUGAUCUUAGGAAGGCAAAAUCAGAGAGUCUAUAAGAGGAGACUGAUCACUUGAUUAAUGCAGAUGCCUGAAGACAGUGCAUGAUUGUAGCUUGACUAUCAAUUUAGAGUGACAGUACAAUAUUUUAAAAUAAAAUGCCCAAAUGUGACAUAAUUAAACCUUGGCUAUUU
rnacentral:lncRNA from 1 species